rnacentral:rRNA from 1 species
CACGUAGGGUGCGAGCGUUGUCCGGAAUUAUUGGGCGUAAAGAGCUCGUAGGCGGUGUGUCGCGUCGGCCGUGAAAACCUGCAGCUUAACUGUGGGCUUGCGGUCGAUACGGGCAUCACUGGAGUUCGGCAGGGGAGACUGGAAUUCCUGGUGUAGCGGUGAAAUGCGCAGAUAUCAGGAGGAACACCGGUGGCGAAGGCGGGUCUCUGGGCCGAUACUGACGCUGAGGCGCGAAAGCUAGGGGAGCAAACAGG